rnacentral:rRNA from 1 species
CCUACGGGAGGCUGCAGUGGGGAAUAUUGGACAAUGGGCGAAAGCCUGAUCCAGCCAUGCCGCGUGUGUGAAGAAGGCCUUCGGGUUGUAACGCACUUUCAGUGGGGAAGAAAGCCUUGGGGCUAAUACCCUCGAGGAAGGACAUCACCAACAGACGAAGCACCGGCUAACUCCGUGCCAGCAGCCGCGGUAAUACGGAGGGUGCGAGCGUUAAUCGGAAUUACUGGGCGUAAAGCGCGCGUAGGCGGUCUGAUAAGCCGGUUGUGAAAGCCCCGGGCUCAACCUGGGAACGGCAUCCGGAACUGUCAGGCUAGAGUGCAGGAGAGGAAGGUAGAAUUCCCGGUGUAGCGGUGAAAUGCGUAGAGAUCGGGAGGAAUACCAGUGGCGAAGGCGGCCUUCUGGACUGACACUGACGCUGAGGUGCGAAAGCGUGGGUAGCAAACAGGAUUAGAUACCCGAGUAGUC